CCUGGUGGCUAUGGCGAGGUGUCUGAACCCGAUCCCAUCCCGAACUCGGUCGUUAAACGCCUCAGCGCCCAUGGUACUUCGUCUUAAGACGCGGAAGAGUAGGUCGCCGCCAGGC
rnacentral:rRNA from 1 species